UACGUAGGGUGCAAGCGUUGUCCGGAAUUAUUGGGCGUAAAGAGCUCGUAGGCGGUUUGUCGCGUCUGCUGUGAAAACUCAGGGCUUAACUCUGAGCUUGCAGUGGGUACGGGCAGACUUGGAGUGCUGUAGGGGAGAUUGGAAUUCCUGGUGUAGCGGUGGAAUGCGCAGAUAUCAGGAGGAACACCGGUGGCGAAGGCGGGUCUCUGGGCCGAUACUGACGCUGAGGAGCGAAAGCGUGGGGAGCGAACAGG
rnacentral:rRNA from 1 species